rnacentral:lncRNA from 1 species
UUACAAGUUUGCCACUCAAAUGAAUAAAGGUAUAAAUAUGACUUUAUAGCCAAAAUUCAUUUGGGGUUUGUUUUGGAGAAAAUUGGAGAGAACAUGUCUCUCCAUUUCUCUCUAAAGAGGCCGGCCCCUUGGAGGGUGUAUCUAGCCAAUCACUAACUACUCCAAGGUCACUCAUUUCUUCUCCAAUCUAACCUUGGUGAAGAUACUUAGAGGUUCUCAAUUUUGG